rnacentral:lncRNA from 1 species
ACUACAGCCUCAGUGCAUGGCGGUGGGCGCUUCCAGUAACUCAGGGGUGGGACUUUUUUCUUGCUCAGGGGAUGAGGCCGAGCCCACAGGCUUAGAAAGAAGGAACUUGAGUCCGGGCACCUGUCAUCCCAGCGCUUAGGGAGGCCGAGGCGGGUGGAUCACCUGAGGUCAGGAGUUCGAGACCAGCCUGGCCAAUAUGGCGAAACCCCCGUCUCUACUAAAAAUACAAAAAUUAGCCGAGCAUGGUGGCAUGCACUUCCAGCUACUUGGAAGGCUGAGGCGGGAGAAUGGCUUGAACCUGGGAGGCGAGGGUUGCAGUGAGCUGAGAUCGCACCACUGCACUCCAGCCUGGGUGACAGAGCGAGACUUCGUCUCAAAAAAAAAGAAGAAGAAAGAAGGAAGCUGAGGUUCAGACAGGCUAAGUCCCUACUGCAGGCUGCGGAAUCUAAAAAGGUAGGUGCCAGGGUUUGCAACCCACACUUUUAUUUUGGUCUCAGGUAGCUGAUGUCAUUCCAGUCUAUGGCAAAGAAGGUGGCAAAUCCAUUAACAUAGAUGAAGAAUUUCAUUUUACUUUUUAGUUUUAUUUAUUUAUUUAUUUUUAUUAUGUAUCAUGCUUUUAAUACAAACUUUAAAAAAUCUGGAACAAUAGAAACUGUACAGAUUUGAUCAAUCUUUUUGUUUUGUUUUUAAACUAAAAUCUCUAAACACACCAAUGUCCUAUUCCAAAAUAUUGCACAACAUUCUGAAUACAAAACCCUUGAUUGUAUUCCUCCUUCACUGAAGAAAAAACUUCAUGACCCUGCUCCCCGGGCUCCUCUCCAGGCUUGCGUCAAUGCCCCCUUCCCAUCCCUAGGGAGAAAACUAGAGAAUCUAUAACUCACUGCAUUGAGAAAAAGACAUCAUUCUGGACUAACAGUUUCCAUUCUUCAGAAGAUAAUCCACCUUUUGAUUUGUUCCUGGGAAACAGGGAUAGAUAGAGGAUGGGGAAAGGGGAGAAAAG